rnacentral:rRNA from 1 species
GAUGAACGCUAGCGGCAGGCUUAAUACAUGCAAGUUGAGGGGCAGCAUGAUAUACGCGAGUAUAUUGAUGGCGACCGGCGGACGGGUGAGUAAUAGGUAGGAGACCUACCUCAUACAGGGGGAUAGCAUAGAGAAAUCUGUGGUAAUACCCCAUGAGGUUAUAUGAAUAGAGGCAUAUAAUCAAAGCAUAAGCGAUUAUGCGGUAUGAGAGGGGCCUACUGACCAUUAGCUAGUUGGUGAGGUAAGGGCUCACCAAGGCGAAGAUGGUUAGGGGUUUUGAGAGAGAGACCCCCCACAUUGGAACUGAGAGACGGUCCAGACUCCGGUACGGGAGGCAGCAGUAGGGAAUAUUGGGCAAUGGGCGAAAGCCUGACCCAGCCAUGCCGCGUGAAGGAAGACGGCCUUAUGGGUUGUAAACUUCUUUACUACGCGAAUAGAGGUUAGUACGAGAUACUAAUAGGAAGGUAGUGUAGUAAAAGCACCGGCUAACUCCGUG